ACCCUUUCAUAUUUGAUCUCUUAUAUUUCAGUGAAAAAAAUAUGGAUUAUAUCUCAUGCAGAGUGAGACCCUUGCCUGACUAGUGAGUUAUUGAGGCUUUUAAAUUCUAAAUAAAAAUGUUCUGAAAAUAUUUGUCCUCAGUACAAUUAGGCACCUGAAUAAUCCUAAAUUUGGCCAAAUUGAGACAGUAUUAUUGAAGAAUGUAAGGCUUAAAGUUUUGUAGAUUUAUUUAGUUGUGUAUUUAGGCCUGUAGUUAACCAAAAAAAAAAAAAAAAAAAAAGGUCAUAAGGUCAUAUGUUUGUUAUACCAUAUCUGACAAAUGAAUUACUUUGAAGAUGUAAUUAUUGAAGUAAUAAAAAUGAUUAGCAUUUCAGGUUCCUAAAGACACUAGCCAGGCUCCCUUGGGGUCUCCUCAGCCCUGCCCGUGCACACAGGACCCCGUUUCAGCUCAUCCCAGAACUAUUGUCCCAUAGGAGACAACAAGCUCAUCAGAGUUAUGGCUUCUGACUUAGAGAGUAUUAAUCACCACUGGGAGAGCACCACCAGGGUAAAGUGACAACACCGACACACUUCUGCUGCUGUGUUUUAUGAAGAAGACCAUUAUCAAGUACAUUUUUUUCUUCCUUGAAGUUGAACACAUUGACUUCUGAUGAUUCUGCUUAAAUUUCCCUGAAGUCCAGACAAACAGAUGAUAACUGCCACCAGGACAAUGGAGUGAAGCUUUGUGUUAGCUAAAGGACACACAGAAUCUCAUUUUCCAAACCUGGAAAAUAAGCACCAGAAUGACUCAUCCACCAGAGUUAUGCACAGCGUGGAAGUGGUAUUUUUUUCUAGUGUUUCUUGAGCUGGCACAGAACAGAGAAAUCUGUUA